GAUGAACGCUGGCGGCGUGCUUAACACAUGCAAGUCGAACGAUGAAGCCCAGCUUGCUGGGUGGAUUAGUGGCGAACGGGUGAGUAACACGUGAGUAACCUGCCCUUAACUCUGGGAUAAGCCUGGGAAACUGGGUCUAAUACCGGAUAGGAGCGUCCACCGCAUGGUGGGUGUUGGAAAGAUUUAUCGGUUUUGGAUGGACUCGCGGCCUAUCAGCUUGUUGGUGAGGUAAUGGCUCACCAAGGCGACGACGGGUAGCCGGCCUGAGAGGGUGACCGGCCACACUGGGACUGAGACACGGCCCAGACUCCUACGGGAGGCAGCAGUGGGGAAUAGUGCACAAUGGGCGCCAGCCUGAUGCAGCGACGCCGCGUGAGGGAUGACGGCCUUCGGGUUGUAAACCUCUUUCAGUAGGGAAGAAGCGAAAGUGACGGUACCUGCAGAAGAAGCACCGGCUAACUACGUG
rnacentral:rRNA from 1 species